GGGCGGAUAGCGGUCUUAACGUGCGAAACGGAACAACAUAUUUAACCUACAAUAAAAACUUUUUUGUUAAAUAUAAUAAUAUUUUUUUUUCAAUAUCUGUGAAUCGUAUUAUAAGCCGACGGAUUUAAAAACGACAUUUUCACCAUGGAUCGUUCAAGGUUUUUCGGUUGUUUCGAAAAAUGGUUUAAUAUGACUUUGACAGUUCUAUAAAAAUAUUUACAAAUUGUUCAAAAAGGACUUUUUUGAAAUUGAUUAUUUUUGUUUGAAAACUUAGGUUGUGAUUUUAUAAUCGUUUUUAAUUAGUGUUCAUAAUGUGAAAUUAUGCUGUAAGCAAUACACAAAGUUGUUAAGCAAAUUAUAUUGGAGAUUCAGAUGCGAAAAUGCGUGAACGUUGACGUAAUCUUAGCAACAUAAUAAUGUGACACAAUAUUUCUUUUUACUUUAAAUAAUGUUUUUAAUAUGAGUAUGUGAUUUUAUAAUAAUAUUGUUUAUAUUAUGGCCAGUAUUAGUUAUUAGAUAGUUUUAGUCAAUUGUGUUUAAGGAUGUCAACGUCGCGAGGAGAGUUUAUGGAUUUGGGUUGGUAAG
rnacentral:misc_RNA from 1 species